ACUCUGCCUCGUGCAGAGAGUGGGAGGCCGGGAAGUUGUUCAAACUUGAUCAUUUAGAGGAAGUAAAAGUCGUAACAAGGUUUCCGUAGGUGAACCUGCGGAAGGAUCAUUACCGAGUAGCUACCUACCUCCGCUGGCCGCGAGUCAGUGAAUGAGUGGGGUGUUUACUACCGUGUGAACCGACUGAAAAAUUUUUUAGGGGUCGGCUCGUUCCGUUAAAAGGGGAGCACCGUGAUGAGCCACCAGCUGGCUGGCUGGCUGGUGAGCCUCGCGGUGGGCUCCUGCCCCGACAGUGUUUUUUAAAAGGACACAUUUGAUGUAAAAGACUGAGCGCAGUGAGAGAGAUAUGUUCUAACAUAGAAAAAUGAAAGUGUGACAACUUUUGACGGUGGAUCUCUAGGCUCACGCAUCGAUGAAGAACGCAGCCAGCUGCGAUAAGUAGUGUGAAUUGCAGAAUUCAGUGAAUCAUCGAAUCUU
rnacentral:misc_RNA from 2 species